rnacentral:rRNA from 1 species
CGUAGGGGGCCAGCGUUGUCCGGAAUCAUUGGGCGUAAAGCGCGCGUAGGCGGCCAGACAAGUCCGGUGUGAAAGUCACAGGCUCAACCUGUGAAUGCCGCUGGAAACUGUCUGGCUAGAGUCCGGAAGGGGCGAGUGGAAUUCCUGGUGUAGCGGUGAAAUGCGCAGAUAUCAGGAGGAACACCUAUGGCGAAGGCAGCUCGCUGGGACGGUACUGACGCUGAGGCGCGAAAGCGUGGGGAGCGAACAGGAUUAGAUACCCUGGUAGUCCACGCCGUAAACGAUGGGCACUAGGUGUGGGAGGUGUCGACUCCUCCUGUGCCGAAGCUAACGCAUUAAGUGCCCCGCCUGGGGAGUACGGCCGCAAGGCUA